rnacentral:lncRNA from 1 species
AUACCCGACAUCGCUUUUCAUUCAUAUUUACAUUAAAACUGUGAGUGAAUCAGUGAAAAUAUUUAACAGCUGUUACACUUUAUAAAGUAAAAUCGUCCGAAUUGCUUUUCUGGACUUAAACGCUCAAAGCCGAAUAUUUGAAAGCCAAUGGUGUAUUAGAACCGAGACAGUUGUAGGGCUUUAUGAACAAAAAAAGUGAAUGUCUUUAUGUGUGUGAUUGUGUACUUGACCUGAAAUACGCUAACGAAAAUGUGUUUGACAUUGUACUUCAAGUAUAUAACACAGUAGGUUCAUACAGCAACAAUGGACUACAUCCACUGUUUUUAUUCUAUUCGUUUCGUCUCCUUUAAAUAAGUGUCUCAUUGGCUACCAUACCACAUCUCCAUGUUUUAAAGAAGAAAUUGGUAAAAGCCAACUUCGACCAACAUUGCCUGAGAACGAAGAAAUAAUUGUAAAAUCAUUUGUUAAAAAAGUAAACUGACAACGCCAUCGGUAAAAAAAAAAAAAAAAGACAAAAAGG